rnacentral:lncRNA from 1 species
GAAGAAAAUAGAUGGCAACAGGACAAGAAUGGGAGCAGGUAGACCCUCCCAGUCCAGGCAAAUAUUACCAGUGGCUAAGAGUAAGGUAGUAUCAGUGAAGAAGUGAUCCUAUUAUUGAUAGAUCUUAAAGCAGAGUAGACAAGACUUGCUGAUUAAUUAAAUGUUACGCGUGAGAGAAAUAUAAAAGUUAAGGAUGAAACCAAAGUUUUUAACCUAAACAACUUGGAGGAUGGAGGGGGAAACAAAGGAACUAGUUGCAAGCAAAAAGGCCUGAGAGAAUCUCAUUGACGCUUCCACCAUGAGAAGACAUGGUGAGAAAGCACCAUCCAUGAACCAGAAAGUGUAUCCCCUUACCAGACUCUGAAUCUGCCAGAGCCUUCACCCUGGAUGUUCUAGCCUCCAGAACUUCGAGAAAUAAAUUUCUGUUGCUUGUAAGCUACUCGGUUUGUGGCAUUUUGCUAUAGCAGCUCAAAUAGACUAAGACAUGUAGUUAACCUACAAUGAUGAGCUUCUGCUGCUCUAAGAUCUUGUAUAUACCCGACUGCUCUGUUUCCAUACCUUUUGACAUAUACAGUAACUUUUCAUGUCAAUACCAAUUCAUGGUGUGAUCUUUAUGAAGAUACUUUAAAGAGCAAUGAAACAUCAUUCUAUGCUGUGCUAGGAAUAUACCUAACUCAGCUGAUGUGACAACAAAAAUAGCUAUGGCCAACAUCGCAUGUACCCAGGCAAUGACAACCAUGGCAAAACUGCUGCCUGACCAACAACUGCUAUAAGAUACCACUGACUGUAAGAAGCAUCCUACCUCAGAGAUAAUAAAGUACAGAGGGAAGUGCUACUUAGAAUUGAUGAAAUAUU